AGGAAAUUGUUACUUGGGGCGCCAGAGCAGCAAAACGCUAGCAAAAUUUACGUAGAGAGUGGAAAAGGAUUAAAACUUGUGAGUUUGGCCAGCUUGUUCGUGUCCAGUUUCGUGUCCCGUCGAGAAUACCUGCGCACGGUGCGAAUCGUGAAUCCGUGGCUCGAAAGCUAUUGCCAGCAACUAGCAAAAAGAAAAGGUUAUCUACUUUCACCCUCGGCACACCGGGAAAGUAAAGCGCAGCACAGCGCCCGCAAAAGAAAGCAAUAGCAAAAUGUCGUUCGCGGAAAGAUUAACCACCCUGAUGGCCCGCCCCGGCCAGGACAAUGUGCCGCGGGACGAUGUGCCGUGGCAUCUGAAGUACGGUGGACGGGCGGCGGGAAUCGUCGGUGGAUUCUUUGCCAUCCUGUUCGGGCUGUACAACUGCAUCGGCAUACUGCUCGGUGACGUUGGGUGCCUGGUCGGUGGCAUCCUGCAGAUACUGGCCGGGUUCGUGGUGCUGGCGAUAGAGGCACCGUGUUGCUUUAUCUUCAUCGACUAUGUGCAGCAGGCGGCAGAGAAGGCCGACCAGCGGCCGUACUGGAACCGGGCCGCGCUCUACUGCAUUAUCUCCAUCCCGCCGGUGAUCCUGUGCCUGGGCUUGGGCAGCCUGUUCGGCUGUGGGCUUAUAUUCGUUACCGGCAUGCUGUACGGUAUGAUGGCACUCGGCAAAAAGAUCGCGCGAGGAUAUGGCAGCGAUGGCUUCCCCGAACGCGAUGUCCCCGGUGCAGGGCGUCCCGUCAACGGACCAACACUCCACCCUGAUGGAGGACCCCGAUGUAUGGCGUCCAACAUAAAUCGUUCACUAAAUAUCAAACCCUCCAAAACCAAAAAACAACCUACCAUAAACCCAUUAAGCUUCUUAACAAUUUUCGCUGCUCCUUCAUCAUGCAAAAGCAAAAACAAGCAUUUAAAAAUACAAAAAACACACACACCAACACACAAACGUUUUGCUCACGGGAUAGCAAAUCGGAAACACGGCUAGUUGUGUCCAGUAGCCCACUUUCACCCCAUUUGCUCUCCCUGUAUCGCUCGAAUACUGAAUACCUCCUUCGACGCCAUAAAAAGAAAAAAAGAAAUCCUCUCCGAUUCCCAUCGCUGUCAUCGCCGUAGUCGUACGUAGGCAGAAGGCAAAUCCUUUUCUUCCUGCAACUAAGAACCAAACGAGUCAGUAAAUGAAAAUAAAACGCUAGAACAAACAGACAACAACAAAGAUAAGAGAACUAAGCUAAAACACACACACACGUACGAGCUCAAUCAUGUAGAAGGGCGAACACACACACACACAGGGCUAGCUUGUAGGGAAAAGGGGUGUUUCGAUAGCUAAAGUUGAGAGUUAAUUCUUAAUUAUUAAAGUUAUCGUUUAAGUGCGUACGUGUGCAUAAGUUUCGUUUAAUGUCAAUCAAUGCCGGACACAGUUGGUCAGCAAUUAACAAACGUAUUAAUAACACGCACAGAACGAGGGAUAAGAGUAAUAGAGCAAUGGCCGAACGUUCAUAGUAGAUAAUUAAAUGGUUUGGUUAGAUUAGCUAUUUGCCGUCUAGAUGAUAAUCAUUGAAUUGCUCGAAGCGAUUGCACCAAAAUGGAAACGAUCCGGUAGUAGCGGAAGUAGGGGCUCACGCGGCAUUGUUCCAGAGAAGCAUUUAGCAUUUGGCUUUAAGUACCACUUUGUUCCAAUCGUUUUGACGUGCGUUAGAGCUGCGCUGUGGUCUUGUGUGUAGUGAUGAAGUGCAGUUUGAUGAAAUGUCUGCUCUCUCUUCCCGCGUUCAACAUAGUUUAUUUUAAUGGUGAUAGUAGAAAUUGAAGGUGCAAAAAAAAAACAAAUUUACGUGAACUAGAGAAUCGUAAUUCCAUAUCGUUUCUCACAUCUCUGUUACUCGAAACAUCCCCAACGCAUGAACAAAAAAACACACACGAAACCCCACUACUUGUCUUGUCUAAUCUCCCCUGAACACAAUACUUGUCCAGCACUGGCCGAAAAGGAUGUGUGGUUGUUGGUAGUUGGCGUUCGGCUAAAUGCGCCAUAUGUUGAUAAUCGGAGAAAACCAUAUAGAGAAUAUCGUUUACCAUAUUACAAUAACCAAGAUGCGGUUCAGCGCAAGGUAACACAGAAGUACCAGCGGGCGAUGUUAAGCAAACCCGUUCACUCCGAGAUACCGUGACAUACACUUAAACACUGAAAGAGUUCCACUGCGCGUUAGUGGUGCUUGUUGUUGGCAUGUGAAUCAAUCAUAACCAGUUGUCCAUAAAAAAAGAAGCAUAAACCCACCAAAAAAAAGAAGAAGAAGCAAACAAUGCAAGUGACGGAGGGGGAGAGAACAGGAGAAAAGGAUAUUAAUUAAGGCGAAACUAACUACACAAAACACUGCAACAUUGGUUUAGUGUGUGUUAAAGAGUGUGUUGAAUAAAUGAGAUCAUACAUACAUACACACUCACACACAUCACGCAACCCUCAGACACAUUCACACACACACACACUUACCCAGUGGUAAGGACUCGUGCUUUGUAGGAGUAGUUCAGGGCAACACACACGUUAUAAGGACAAUGCAAAUUAGGAUGGAUGGACGGUUCAAUUAAAUAGCAAAGGGACGAGCGAGGGAGCGAUUGUGUGGUAACAAUCUGCUCCAGUACCCUUCAGCAUGAUCUCAAACAACCUCCCUUGCCCAACGGUCGGUCGUAUGGGGCGCGUGAUUCCCAACCGCAUCUCCACUCACUAGAACGAACGUGUGUGUGUGAAUGAAGGAAUUAAGCAAUACAUUAUAUCGAAUAUACUACACGAAGAAGGGAGGACUAUUUUUGUAAAGUUAAACGAACUACUGCGAAGACGCUUGGAACUUCAUUCAUGCUGUAUGGUGCUUACUUUUAAUAUGUGUGUUUCUGUUGUUUAUUUUUUCAUUUUAUUGUAUGGCUCGUUUUAAAGGCACGCGAUUAUUGGUUUACAAUCACUUUUAGUUAAGCAUUCACGUACAUCCUUUCCAUUGCUCAUGAUACAGGAUUGUCCAGGAGUUCUCAUAGCUGUGAGACACUUUUUUGACUCUUUCUUAUUUGAAAUGAACUUAAUGUAAUGGGAAUUGGACUCUAUGGCACGCUUGUUUGACAAAUCCAAUAGGAAUAGGGUGCCAUAGAGUCCGGUUCCCCCAAUAUGAAGUUCACUUCGAAUAAGAAAGAGUUAAGGAAGUGUCCGACAACUAUGACAACUAACCGUGGAAAACCCUGUAACAUAGAUUUGUGCUCACUGCUUUUUAAACCAUUCCAACUACCAACCUGUCGUUGGUUUCUUUUUAUUUUCUCUCCUUUGUGUGCUUCUCUAAUUGCAUAUCUAUUAGUAUUAUUUGGUAUAAUUUCAUACUUUCGUUUGCAUCAAUUUGAUUUUCGUUUCGUUUUUUUCUUUCUUCCUUUUCCCUCUUCUCGUUUUCGUUACCGUUUUUGUUUACAUCGCCAUCAUCUAAAGAGCGUCGUUAGAGGACAUGCGAGCAGCGGCAACAACGUCGGCGGGAGCCAGCUCGUCCGCUGAGCAGGGCAACGCGCACCGCCCCCGUACGAUAGUGUAGCUUAAAACAUGUGCGGUAAAAAAUGAGCCACCCAUCAGCACGCAUGCAGGCAUUGUAGGAAAACGCGAGGAAUGGGGCACGGCGCGAGCGCCACUUUUAUCUCAAGUGGAUAUGGAGGGGUAGGAGGUAGUGUCUGUGCGUGCGUACGUUUGCUACCCAACUUAUAGCAGGACUGCGAGACUGAGGAAUGGGGCUGUUUCAGUGAGCAUAGCAUUGUAGGGGCUCUAUGUACACAUCCCUCUUCGAACCGCUUCUUUCGAUGCUGCUACGGAGCGUGGAGUAGUUUAAUUGUGUAAGACCACGUACAUACUACUGCUCAGCUCUGUCUCCUAGCUUGUUUUGGUUUUGGUUAUAGAUUUCGGUGGAAAACAACAUCAGUCGUACAGUGUGUUAAUUGUACCGAGAGAACAUAAAGUAAAUACCAUUUGCUUUACUACACCUAAUAGUCAACAAAUUCUACAAACGACCGCUUGCUUUCAAUUUGCCUAUUUUUUGCGUUAUUUUUAACCCUUGAUAUGAGCGUACGAUAGAAAGGAAUAAUUUCAAAUGGAAUUAAACACAAAAUAGGUAAACCAAGAAGGUGAGACGGUUUUUAGUUGGACCUUUUUUAAAACGCAACUCACAUGCCAGAGCAUGGAGAAAUUUUCUUUUGUUUAUCCUGUCUUUCUAUUUCAUUCUGUGCCUAUUUUCCUCCCGUCUUACAAACGUCCAAAGCAAUUGUUUGUUCACUGUGAACAAACACAAACAUACACACUUGUGCCGUUUGGCUACAGAGUUUGUACACAUGCAUCGCGGCAUGGGGAAUAAUAUUUAUGAGAUCUAAGUUAUCGAAAUGCUCUGCAAAUGUUUCAUAUAUUAGAAAAUGUGAUAAUUUUAGUCCCUACUCUAAUCACAAGCAAUUGCUACGUUGAUGAAAACAAAACGAAUAAUCCACUGGUUCUGUUUGAGAUGCACGCAGACAGAAGUACACAUUCCAGAGCUACCUUUCGAGCUGCGUGGGGCUUGUGUGUUAGAACAAUUUUGCUGUAUUCGAGUUAAUAAUAAUUGCCUAGCUUUGACGGGAAGCAGCUUUUCGAAGGGCCUAAAGGGAAGCUGGUUAAGCGAAUGGUGGACGGACGGAGCAUUCAGGCGCAUCUGCUACCCAUUGUUCCGGAUGGCAGGUGCAAAUAGAACGUAAGUUACAUAUCCCGGAAGCCUACGUUUGUUAGUGCUUCACGCUUUCUUUCGUGUCUGUGGUUCCACCGGUUGGUCCCGUUUCGCUUAGUGCCGGAAUGCCCUCGAACUAUGGCACUAAAUUGAAAUUAUUCUUACUAAACAGCAGGUGUGAGAAGAACACAACAUUGAAAACAUCAUUGGGCAAGUGUUGUUUUGAAUUUUGUUUGCAUGGAGGAAGCGCACCGUUGGAAAGGCUUAAUAAAAGAGAGAUAGAGAGUUAAAAUAGUUAAAUAGCAUAAAUUAUCCUGACACAUGAGGAGAUGAGUGACACGGCUUGCAAACAAGGUGGGAGCGAAAAUCAAUAAAGCUUCUGCAUCAUUUGUUUAGCAAAGAAAAAAGACACGAAAACCUGCGUUGCGAACCUACGUACCGACCGACGGCGGGGGGAGAGAAGUUAAUACAAAAGUCCUCCAUUGCGCAUGUAGAUAAGCAUGCAUUAUGUAAAGAAUACCAUAUUUACAUAAACUAUAUAUACAUAUACAUAUAUCGUGUACGAUACAAGAACGAUAGAGAAGCGCGCAUAGAGAACUAAUGAAAAAAAAAACAGCAACAGACAACAACAAGAACAACAAAAAACACACACACACACACAUCGUUGAAGAAGAAAGAAUAGAAAACUAGACAAAACAGAAUCAUAAAAAUAAAGAAAUGAAUUAAAGAAAAAAUGGUAGAAAAAUAAGAAAUAUCGAACCACAUAAACACGAGUGCAGAAAAUAAAGGAACAAGAAUAUUACCGUUA